rnacentral:tRNA from 1 species
GAGAGCAGCUCAGUUGGUGGAGCAUCAGCUUUCCAAGCAGGCGGUCCUAGGUUCGAAUCCUCGUGCAAUCACAA